AUGGUUGGACUGGGCGCUGCCUUGGGAAUGCUACUUGUUGGUUUGAGUGGGGUAUUCUUUUUCUAUAGAUGGAAAAGAGGUAUCAGGAAACAACGACGCAGGAUGUACUUCCGUAAAAACCAGGGCCUUCUGUUGGAACAACUCAUAUUGUCUGAUGAAAAUGCAAGUGAUAGGACAACGAUCUUCUCCUUAGAAGAGUUGGAGAAGGCAACAAACAAUUUUGAUGAUGCUCGAAUUGUCGGACGUGGAGGGAAUGGCAUGGUAUACAAAGGCAUCUUAUCUGACCAGCGUGUGGUAGCUAUAAAAAAGUCAAAACUUGUUGAGGAAGCUGAGAUCAAUGAGUUUAUUAAUGAGGUUGCAAUCCUCUCUCAGAUAAAUCAUCGAAAUAUCGUGAAGCUCUUUGGAUGUUGUCUUGAAACAGAGGUGCCCCUGUUGGUGUCUGUUUUUAUCCCUAAUGACUCUUUAUUUGAUGUCCUGCGUGGUGAGUCAGUCAGUGGGCACUCUCUAUCCUGGGACGACUGUUUGAGGAUUGCUCUAGAAUCUGUUGGAGCUCUAUGUUAUUUACAUACAUCUGCUUCCAUAUCAGUUUUUCAUCAUGAUGUCAAGUCCUCUAAUAUAUUGUUGGAUGCAUAUUACACCGCUAAAGUUUCGGAUUUUGGUGCGUCGAGAACAGCUCCAAUUCACCAAACUCAUGUGACUACAAAUGUACAAGGAACAUUUGGAUACUUGGAUCCAAAAUAUUAUCAAACCGGUAAACUAAACGAGAAAAGUGAUGUGUAUAGUUUUGGUGUGUUACUCCUAGAGUUGCUCACAAGAAAAGAGCCAGUUUUCCGAAGCAAUGCAGGUGGAGAGUGUUAUCAAAACUUGUCCAUCUACUUCAUUUCAGAGAUCAAAGUGAGGCCAGUAAGAGAGGUGGUGGCUACUCAAGUUCUUGAAGAAGCAACUGAAGAUGAAAUUAAUACCAUUGCCUCUCUUGUGGAGAUGUGUUUGCGUCUCCGGGGAGAAGAAAGGCCUACCAUGAAGCAAGUGGAGAGUACAUUACAAUAUUUGCGAACAAAAAGGUUGACCUCAUGUCAAAUUGGUGAAGGAAGCGACGAAGAGAUCCAACCAUUAGUCACUAACUGUCAACCACCAACUGUCCCUAGUUAUCAACCUUUGGCCAUUCAAUUAUAA
rnacentral:rRNA from 1 species